rnacentral:rRNA from 1 species
AUGACCUGGGCUACACACGUGCUACAAUGGGCGGUACAAAGGGUCGCGAACCCGCGAGGGGGAGCCAAUCCCAAAAAGCCGCUCUCAGUUCGGAUUGCAGGCUGCAACUCGCCUGCAUGAAGCCGGAAUCGCUAGUAAUCGCGGAUCAGCAUGCCGCGGUCGAAUACGUUCCCGGGCCUU